rnacentral:tmRNA from 1 species
CGGCGCUAAUUCUCGGAGGCGUUCGGGGAAAUCAAUCGAGAGAGCUCCCGCGGAGCCUGGCUGCAGGCGCCAACCGGAGCGAAAUCUAAACAACAGCCUACGCUCGUAGCCGGCCUCUUGUGGUCUUUCUUCCGGACGGUGGGUUCGACUCCCCCCGCCUCCACCA